rnacentral:rRNA from 1 species
GAUGAACGCUAGCGGCAGGCCUAAUACAUGCAAGUCGGACGGGAUUCAGGAGCUUGCUUCUGAUGAGAGUGGCGCACGGGUGCGUAACACGUAUGUAACCUACCUUUAUCAGGGGGAUAGCCUCUCGAAAGAGAGAUUAAGCCCGCAUAAAAUCACAGCACAGCAUUGUGUAAUGAUCAAAUAUUUAUAGGAUAAAGAUGGGCAUGCGGAACAUUAGCUAGAUGGCGGGGUAACGGCCCACCAUGGCGACGAUGUUUAGGGGAUCUGAGAGGAUGGCCCCCCACACUGGUACUGAGACACGGACCAGACUCCUACGGGGGGCAGCAGUAAGGAAUAUUGGUCAAUGGGCGGAAGCCUGAACCAGCCAUGCCGCGUGCAGGAAGACGGCCCUACGGGUUGUAAACUGCUUUUAUACGGGAAUAAACCCAGAUACGUGUAUCUGGCUGAAUGUACUGUAAGAAUAAGGAUCGGCUAACUCCGUG